UACAGAGGUCCCAAGCGUUGUUCGGAUUCACUGGGCGUAAAGGGUGCGUAGGUGGCUUGGUAAGUUUGAUGUGAAAUCUCCGGGCUUAACCCGGAAAUGGCAUUGAAUACUAUUGAGCUGGAGGUUUGGAGGGGGGACUGGAAUUCUCGGUGUAGCAGUGAAAUGCGUAGAUAUCGAGAGGAACACCAGUGGCGAAGGCGGUUCUCUGGGCCUUACCUGACGCUGAGGAGCGAAAGCGUGGGGAGCGAACAGG
rnacentral:rRNA from 1 species